AGCGAACGCUGGCGGCAGGCUUAACACAUGCAAGUCGAGCGGGCCCUUCGGGGUCAGCGGCAGACGGGUGAGUAACACGUGGGAACGUACCCUUCGGUUCGGAAUAACUCAGGGAAACUUGAGCUAAUACCGGAUACGCCCUUUGGGGGAAAGGUUUACUGCCGAAGGAUCGGCCCGCGUCUGAUUAGCUAGUUGGUGGGGUAAUGGCCCACCAAGGCGACGAUCAGUAGCUGGUCUGAGAGGANGAUCAGCCACACUGGCACUGACACACGGGCCAGACUCCUACGGGAGGCAGCAGUCGGGAAUUUUGGGCAAUGGGCGAAAGCCUGACCCAGCAACGCCGCGUGAAGGAUGAAGCUUUUCGG
rnacentral:rRNA from 1 species